GCCCCUUUGGCCUAACCGGAUAAGGCGUCUGACUUCUAAUCAGAAGAUUGCGGGUUCGAGUCCCGCAAGGGGUU